GACGAACGCUGGCGGCGUGCUUAACACAUGCAAGUCGAGCGGUAAGGCCCUUUCGGGGUACGACGAGCGGCGAACGGGUAGGAGUAACAACGUGGGUGGACCUCGCCCUUACGUCUCUGGGAGUAAGACCUCGGGAAACGUAGGGUCGUAAUAACCGGACGUAUGACUCCAUGACGCAUGUUGUGGGGUGGGAAAGACCUUGUGCGGCUA
rnacentral:rRNA from 1 species